CAGCCGCCGCGGGAAUACGGAGGGUGCAAGCGUUAAUCGGAAUUACUGGGCGUAAAGCGUGCGUAGGUGGUGGUUUAAGUCCGUUGUGAAAGCCCUGGGCUCAACCUGGGAAUUGCAGUGGAUACUGGGUCACUAGAGUGUGGUUGAGGAUAGUGGAAUUUCCGGUGUAGCAGUGAAAUGCGUAGAGAUCGGAAGGAACAUCUGUGGCGAAGGCGACUAUCUGGGCCAACACUGACACUGAGGCACGAAAGCGUGGGGAGCAAACAGGAUUAGAUACCCCCGUAGUCCCUGUCUCUUAUAC
rnacentral:rRNA from 1 species